CAGAAACCUGGUGCACAAUCAGAACUCAAGUGGUGUGGAGAUCUGGAUUGACAGUGCCCCCGGAAGACAAUGGUCUGUCCUCCAGCUUGGGCUGAAGGAUGACCACAAGUGGGCACUAUAUUGUCAGUCAGAUGCCUGAAGCCCCAUGGCUUAAUCAUUAGUUGACUGCUGGUUCUUCCCAUGAACCAAACCCAAAUGAAACCCAGCAAGUGGGGCACCAUGGUAACGCAGGAGUCAGCUUCCUGCGAACAGAGCAGAGCAGAGAAUGGAAGGAGAAUGGACUUGUGUGAACGUGGAGAGGAAGGGGAGGGUGAGCAAAUGGAGAAUAACCAGUACAUAACACAAAGAAUACAUGAGGAAUGAAUAAAUGAAUCCAGCAAGACAUUCCAUAGCUCCGGGAAAGUGGGAAAAGAAAUGCCAUCCAGGAAAAACAAGAAUACGACCCAAGGAGGCUGAUGUGCCACACAAGAUGGGGAAGUAAAAGAAAGGCUUCUGGCUCGGAAAGAAAGUCGAUGGAACAGAAGUCUAGGGAACAAAUAGUCAGACCCACUGGUCCUGCCCCUCCUCCCACUUUGGACAGAAAUCCUGGCAUGGGGUGGAGCUGGCUUUAGAAAGAGUGGGGGGAAGCUGGGCUAGAAAACUUUAUUACUCCACUAUUCUCAGGGGACUCCAGGAAGCGACUCCCAUCACUGGUAACAUGGUGCCAGUACAGCGUAGGCACCGCAGAGCAAAAAUGGAAGCCUAGCUAGACAGACAAGGGUCCUGAGUCAGUGCUUCUGCACCUCCUUUGGUUCCUGUGUGGGGUUGGGGAGUAGAGGGUAUACACUUGCCACUGAGAUGAGUUGCUAAGGGACAAGUCAACUCUAUGAGAGAGGUCAAUUCAAGGUCAAAGUUGAAAUUAAAACAGGUCUGCAGAGCCAGUGAGAGCCAAGAUGGAGAGCUCAAAGAGCAGCAGGCCCAGCCAGUUAGGGUUGGAGUUAGUGUUGACCUUAGGUUUAGGGUUAGGGUUGGACUGGGGUUGGAGCUAGGGUUAGAACUGGGUUGGAGUUAGAAUUAGGGCUGCUGUUGGGGUUGAGGUUGGCGUUAAGUUUAUGGUUCGGGUUAGUGUUGGGAUUGGGGCUAGGUUUGGGGUACGAUUAGGGUUAUAUUUGAGUGUAGUGUCAGCAUUAGCGUCAGAGUUGAGUUUGGCAUUAGGUUUAGGGCUCAAGUUAAAGUUGGGGUUGGGGUUGGGGUCAAGGCUGAGAAAAGCUGCAUUGUCUCUGAAGCCACAGAAUCAGCAAGUCAUGACUUAUUGUACUCUUUCCACUAGGCCAAAGUUGAAACUCAGUGACAUUGCCAUCUAGGCCUCAUAAUUUUUUUUCAAGAUUUUAUUUAUUGAGGGAGAGAGAGAGAAAGAGAGCAUGCAUGAGCAGGGGGGAAGGGGUAGAGGA